GACGAACGCUGGCGGCGUGCCUAAUACAUGCGAGUAGGACGCACAGUCUAUACCGUAGCUUGCUUCACCAUAGGCUGUGAGUUGCGAACGGGUGAGUAACGCGUAGGUAACCUGCCUAUUAGAGGGGGAUAACUAUUGGAAACGAUAGCUAAUACCGCAUAACAGUAUGUAACACAUGUUAGAUGCUUGAAAGAUGCAAUUGCAUCGCUAGUAGAUGGACCUGCGUUGUAUUAGCUAGUAGGUAGGGUAAUGGCCUACCUAGGCGACGAUACAUAGCCGACAGGAGAGGGUGAUCGGCCACACUGGGACUGAGACACGGCCCAGACUGCUACGGAAGGCAGCAGUAGGGAAUCUUCGGCAAUGGGGGGAACCCUGACCGAGCAACGCCGAGUGAGUGAGGAAGGUUUUCGGAUCGUAAAGCUCUGUUGUUAAGGAAGAACGAGUGUGAGAAUGGAAAGUUCAUACUGUGACGGUACUUAACCAGAAAGGGACGGCUAACUACGUG
rnacentral:rRNA from 1 species